AUUGAACGCUGGCGGCAGGCCUAACACAUGCAAGUCGAGCGGUUGAAGGGAGCUUGCUCCUGGAUUCAGCGUCGGACGGGUGAGUAAUGCCUAUGAAUCUGCCUGGUAGUGGGGGAUAACGUCCGGAAACGGGCGCUAAUACCGCAUACGUCCUGAGGGAGAAAGUGGGUGACCUUCGGACCUCACGCUAUCAGAUGAUCCUAGGUCGGAUUGGCUAGUUGGUGGGGUAAAGGCCUACCAAGGCGACGAUCCGUAACUGGUCUGAGAGGAUGAUCAGUCACACUGGAACUGAGACACGGUCCGGACUCCUACGGGAGGCAGAGGUGGGGAAUAUUGGACAAUGGGCGAAAGCCUGAUCCAGCCAUGCCGCGUGUGUGAAGAAGGUCUUCGGAUUGUAAAGCACGUUGAGUUGGGAGGACGGGCAGUAAGGUAAUACCUUGCUGUUUUGACGUUACCAUCAGAGUAAGCACCGGCUAACUUCGUG
rnacentral:rRNA from 1 species